GAUGAACGCUGGCGGCGUGCCUAAUACAUGCAAGUCGAACGCUUCACUUCGGUGAAGAGUGGCGAACGGGUGAGUAAUACAUAAGUAACCUGGCAUCUACAGGGGGCUAACUGAUGGAAACGUCAGCUAAGACCGCAUAGGUGUAGAGAUCGCAUGAACUCUAUAUGAAAAGUGCUACGGGACUGGUAGAUGAUGGACUUAUGGCGCAUUAGCUUGUUGGUAGGGUAACGGCCUACCAAGGCGACGAUGCGUAGCCGACCUGAGAGGGUGACCGGCCACACUGGGACUGAGACACGGCCCAGACUCCUACGGGAGGCAGCAGUAGGGAAUUUUCGGCAAUGGGGGAAACCCUGACCGAGCAACGCCGCGUGAAGGAAGAAGUAAUUCGUUAUGUAAACUUCUGUCAUAGAGGAAGAACGGUGGAUAUAGGGAAUGAUAUCCAAGUGACGGUACUCUAUAAGAAAGCCACGGCUAACUACGUG
rnacentral:rRNA from 1 species